AUACAAAUGCAGGGAAAAGGCUCCCUCUCCCCCUUGUACUCUGAAAGGGAAUGUUUGGCAGGGUCCUUAGAGCAUGGUCUCUGAAGUCAUGCUGCUUCGAUUUGUAUGGCAUUAUUGGCUGCUCACUGGCUGUGUGACCUUAGGCAAUUUACUUAACCUCUCUGAGCCCCAGCAUCCUCAUCUGAAAAAUAGGAAGAAUGAGGCAGGAUUGCUGUGAAGAUAAAAUGGGUUCCUGCAUGUAAAGAACACAGAGUAGCUCCUGGCAGGCAGUAACUUCCAUGUACGUGUUAGCUUUCUUUACUCCCAUCAUCCUCUGCUUCAUUGUUCCUGAAUCUCCUUAAGUAAACUUUACUUUUUUAAGUGUCUUGUAUAUUCUUUCAGCGUUCCUUGAUGCACAUAUAAGCAGCUAUGAACAUAGUUCUUAUUUUUUCUCAUUUUAAAACAUCGUAAAGAUACUAUAUGGCGCAACAUUAUUCAAUAACAUUUUUUUGUCCCUUUCCUUUCAUUUGAUAGUAUAUCUUGGAGGUUUCUCCACAUCAGGACAAUGAGAACUUCCUCAUUCUUUUUUGCAGCUGCACAUAUAAGGAAGGACUGUCUAACAAUUAGAGCUUGUUUUAAAAUAGAACUCUGUCAACUGGGAGCAUUCAGGCGAAGACUAGACAGAAAUGAUGGAGCCAGGAUUUAUGUGUCAGCGAAGGGGUCGGGCUAGAAUACUUCUACUGUUCUUCCAACGGAGAUUUCCUGAUCCUACCUUAAGUUUUCCCAAGAAGUAAAGAGCAGUUUUAAAAACUCCAGAAACAACAUUGUUCUUUUGUGUCUCUGACUGGGUUCUGACUUGGCGCUCAGCCAGCUCUGGGUCAUUCAGACUAGAGAGGGCGGACCUGUGCCCUCUCAGAAUACAGGGGGCUCUGACUCAAGGUCCUGGCUCAUCCUCCAGCCCCGUCUUGAGCGGACCUGACCUGUUAUUAUUAACUAGAGGGAAGAUGGAUUUGCUCUGGAAGGUUCCAAACCCUUCUUGGGCAGGCAUCGUCUCACUGAGGGGUGUCCUUCAUAGGACAUUGGACUUGUCUUCCAUUUCUCAGCCUGAACUUAAUCACCUUUUUUUUUUUUUUUUUAAGGGCCCUUCCUGCGGCAUAUGGAAGUCCCCCAGGCUAGGGGUCGAAUUGGAGCCACAGCUGGUAGCUUACACCACAGCCAUAGCACCACAGCAACGUGGGAUCCGAGCCAAUGCGGGGUCCGAGCCAAUGCGGGGUCCGAGUCCCAUCUGCGACCUACACCACAGCUUGUGGCAAUGCUGGAUCCUUAUCCCACUGAGUGAGGCCAGGGAUGGAACCCAUGUCCUCAUGGAUGCUAGUCGGGUUCUUAACCCGCUGAGCCACAACAGGAACUCCUGAAAUUCAUCAUCUUAGAUGGAACUUUGGGGGUGGCCAGCAUGAUUCCCACAAGGCAGCAAAAGCUCCAGGGCUUUCCUACCUCCUGCUCUUCCCUGAAUAUCCAGUUGGAAGGGAGGUCAGAGAUUAGCUCAGCUUCCCUCCACCGGAAAUUCCCAUAACUGGGGAGUAAAAGUCUUCUGACUUGUGAUUGCAGAAAGUGAGAAGAGAGCGCAGGCAGUUGCCCACAUGUUGGAAAGCACCCCCCCUCCCCGAUCCCAAUAGACUCUGCAAUGUCCCCUCUAGACAUGAAUCCUUUAGAGGCUUUUUACUCCACAGACCUGUAAAAAUCUAUAAAAAUCAGGAAGUUUCCAUUGUGGCUCAGCCAUAACAAGCACAACUGUAUCCAUGAGGAUGAGGGUUCGAUCCCUGGCCUCACUCAGUGAGUUAAGGAUCCUGUGUUGCUGUGGCUGUGGUGUAGGCCCCAAACUGUAGCUCCAAUUUAACCCCUAGCCAGGGAACUUUCAUAUGCUGCGGUGCGGCCCUAAAAAAAGCCAAACAAAAACAAAAACAAAAACACCAAAAACAAACAAACAAAACUAUAAAAAUCAGAGUUCCCAGUUAGCUCAGCAAUUUCAGGAUCUGGCAUUGUCACUACCAUGGCUCUGGUCACUGCUGUGGCGUGGGUGCAACUCCUGGCCUGGGAACUUCCACAUGCUCUGGACGUAGCAAAAAAAAAAAAAAAA
rnacentral:lncRNA from 1 species